rnacentral:rRNA from 1 species
GACGAACGCUGGCGGCGUGCCUAACACAUGCAAGUCAACUUGACUGAAGGAGCAAUCUGACAGUAGAGUGGCGCAAGGGUGCGUAACGCGUAAGUAACUUGCCCAAGGUAAGGAAUAACGUCGAGAAAUCGGCGCUAAUACCUCAUAAUGCAGCGGAUCCGCAUGGAUAUGUUGUUAAAGGUUUACCGCCUUGGGAUAGGCUUGCGUCUGAUUAGCUAGUUGGUGUGGUAACGGCACACCAAGGCUACGAUCAGUAACUGGUCUGAGAGGAUGAUCAGUCACACUGGAACUGAGACACGGUCCAGACUCCUACGGGAGGCAGCAGUGAGGAAUAUUGGGCAAAUGCUCGAAAGAGUGACCCAGCAACGCCGCGUGGAGGAUGAAGGUAUUCUAUAUCGUAAACUCCUAGUGAGAGCAGACGAAAGACAGAUUAUUAAUCUGGAUGACUGUAUGCUCAGAGG